UACGAGGGGUGCAAGCGUUGCUCGGAAUUAUUGGGCGUAAAGGGUAGGUAGGUGGUCUCAUUUGUCUGGGGUGAAAGCCUCGAGCUUAACUCGAGAAGUGCCCCAGAAACGGUGAGACUCGAGUACUGGAGAGGGUCGUGGAAUUCCCGGUGUAGCGGUGAAAUGCGUAGAGAUCUGGAGGAACACCGAUGGCGAAGGCAGCCUUCUGGGCCAACACUGACGCUCAUGCACGAAAGCGUGGGGAGCAAACAGG
rnacentral:rRNA from 1 species